rnacentral:lncRNA from 1 species
GAAGUGUGUCUGGUCGAUCUAAACAUCAGGAGCGAAUAGGAGCUUCCCCACCAAACCCUAACUUGUGCAAAUUGAUCAAAUUGGGGCUUCAAAUCAGUUCCAAAUCGAUUUCCAAGCACGAAAUUGUCAUCUCCAUUGAAAGGGGAGUCAUAAGUUUGAUCUCGUCAAGCUAAGUGGGAGCUGGAAAGGAAUGGAUCAAACGGGUCAAGUGCGCAAGGAAAGCUCGAACGGACGCAAACUGUACAUUUUGGAUGCCGGAAGACGAUCAAGCUCAACGAAGAACCGAACACGAAUAAGAUAAAAGCUUCCGCACGUCGUUUCGUCGUAACUUUUAAACGACGAACUCAAUUAUGUUAUGUUGUAUUAUUUUAAAAUUGUAAAGUUUAAACAAACCCGUAUUUUUACAAAGUAUAUGUAGUCAUAAUUACAUGUUGUUUGUCGUAUACUUUACGAAAACCAUUAAAUAAUGAAAAGGGUGUUACAAGUUGGUAAUCAGAGCUCAUGGUUAAAGAGUAAAGUGUGUUCGGUUCGAGGCUUGAUCGCAAAUCCGGUAAGUACAUGUAUAUUAAUGGUUUGGUAUGUGUUGAAAUGUUGUGAACAACACAUAGGGUUAUCGUGUGAUACACGUUACCUCAAUUAAAUGACAAAUAUAGUUGAGAAAAUUGCGCGCAUUGACGCGUAUAGUAGAAAAGCCUUGUAUUAUAAUACGGGCGAUUAUUGAAGUUGAUAUUACUAAUUCUUGUAAAUGUCUUAAUUGAAGGACACUCGCAUCUGAAGAUAACGAGAGUUUAACAAAUUGCGGAUAUGAUGAUGGAACGGUCCGAGAUGUGACAAGAAGAGCAUACUCAUCAAGGACCUAAAUCGCGUAACGAUCGCAAAUAAGUAAUGGCAACGAAUGCCCGUCGGGGCAAGCAUUACCAGGUGCACAUUUUAAACUUAUAGUACAAACAGUAAUAUGCAACAAAUAUAUAGUGAAUGACAGUUGCAUAUAGAAUAUGAAACUUGGAAAACCUGGAUAGGUUACCUAUCCAGGAUGACGUUUCCAAGAGAAAUUCAGUAGAGAAUAUGUAUUAUUCACAAAUUGUGAAUAACAAGACAAAUACAGAAUUCAAUUUAUAUAGAAACUUGGACGAGAGUGAUCAUCCAAGUAAGUAUUCUCAAUAUAAAUCCUAUUGAGAAAAGUAAUGAUCACAUCAACAAAUGUGAAUAAAUGUUUAUAAAAAGGGACAUUUUACAUGUUCAAGGAUAAACGACUAAAACUAAUAAUUGUUAACUAACAAUUAAAUAAAGUUUUACCAAAUGAAAUCAUAAAUAUGGAAAUAAUUUGAGGAGUUACUUACAUGGGACGUGAUGUGGUAAUUAUAAUAAGGUCACGCGUACCAUGUGUUGAUCCCUUACUUUGGCCAAGUAAGUAGUGAACACAUGAUAGCAUGAGCUUCUUAUAAUGAGCGCAGUUAUGUCCGAUGUAGUAAGGUCAAGAUGAAUGAAAAUUUAAAGGAUCCUUAGGGUCAAGAAAUCUUAUGGGCAUACUCGUAUAAAUGGUUUUCGCGGGAACCAUAAAAACAACGUAUGGCGCACAUAGAAAUAAAUGACCCAAGGAAAUUCGUGACAUAAGUCAUUUCGGACGAAACAACCAUGGUAGACAAAAAGGGCAUUGUAAUACCAAAGUAUAAAUGACCCGCGGGGUCAUAGAAACAAAGGUAUUGCCCACAUGGGAAAAACGAUCAAAGUCGUUGACUUUGGUCGUAGUAAAGAAAUGAUGAUGAUGAUGAUGAUAAUCAUCAUUCAUAGUUUAUAAGACUGUCAAGGAUGGUCGAAUAAAGAAUAAAGGUUUGGUUGAAUAAAAGCGAUGGAUUUCGCUAAGACAACCAAACAAAUUAAAACGAAAUCUUAAUGUAUACCGGAAUGCUUGCACUAAUAAUGACUUCGGUAAAGUACCCGGUUGAUGGGUAAGGAUUUAAACACAUGCGUAAACCGAGAAACGGGAACACGAAUUUAAAGUCAAAAGACUCGGAUUAUGAGUUAUGACUGAAAGACCAUAAAAUUUCGCAAACAAAAAUUUUGAUAAUUAUAUUCAACUAUUUUGAGGUUGAACGGGUUGAAUAAAGUAUAAUGCUUGAUGGCAUAGUAAGCGCAAGCCGGAUAACGGUAAGCUUGAGACAAACCGAUGCUUAAUUGACGUGAGAAGUCAUAGAGUCGGAAGAAUUAUCCGAAAGAAAACGAUUGUAGACACGAACUACAGUCAAAGUUAACGGAUUUCAAGCAUGAAAACAAAUGAUUUUCAAAAAAAAAAAAAAAAAGAGAGUGCUUUGACACCAAAUAUAUAUUUUAAUAAAGACACGAGUAAAAAGAAUGAUCUACGGGAUCAUCAUAACCUUCAGGUUAUAAACAGUGUAAAGGUCUACGGGACCAAAAUGACCUACGGGUCAUGAAUAAAAAGGAAAAAGGAUCAUAAAGGACUCGCCUUAAAGAGGUGAGAGCCUAAAGAAAUAGCCUACGAGGCUAAGUGAAUGAACCUAUGGGUUAUCUAGACAUAGCGAGGGAACUGGUUGAGAAUCCCCGUGUAAAAUAAGAAUGAAAAAGAAUAAAUUCUUAAUUGUCAAUUUCUUGAUAUGAGUAAUUGACGAAAGUUAAAGAGAAGACGUUAAAUUAAACUUCAAGUUUUAGUGAGAAACAACGUUUUAACAAAUAUGAAUACUACAAGACGAUUUUGGAAAUAAAAAAAUAUAUCAAAGAGUAUGGGUCUUAACAUCGAUAGGUGCAAGACGAUAUAUUCGAAAAAAGUGGUAUUUUCGAAAAUAAAAGGUUGAUAUAAAUUAAACAUGACGUGACACGAUCACUGUCAAGAAAUGCAAUGUGAAGUGGAAUCACAUUAUCACCAGGCGAGCGGUAAAAAGCAACUGGACUAAUAAGUCUAGUUAGUGAGAUCGGUUAAGGUAAUUUAAGUAAGUUGGUUGCUUGUAAGCGGUGGAUUCGGUAUAACUGAACCGAAUAAAUGAAUUGGAAAACAAAAGAAAUAGUUGCUAAAAGAGAAAGAUUUCACUAAAGACCUUUAAACGGGUCAAGGUAACGGAUUCACAAAGAGUUCGAUAAUAUAUGAAAGCGAUGGAUAUCGCUAAGUUAACUAAACUAGUGGAAAUAACAAGAUUACGUUAUUUCGAAGUUACACUAUGUCGUAUGAGAUAUGUAGACAAUUAGUAACCAAAAAGAUGUUACCGUACUUUUCGGGUAGUACUAACGAUUGGUUAAAAAAGUAUAAGUAAUGUUUAAAAGAUUACUCAGGUCAAACGCAUUGAGUUUAGAACUCGAUGAACUAUGUAAGAAAGGUUUCGAGGACGAAACCUCUUUAAGGGGGUAGACUUGUAACACCCCGAAAACGGGUUUGGUAAUCAAACCCGGUUAAUACUAAGAGACGGGUUAUAACUCCCGGAAUCCAAUAAGUUAACUAGGAAUAAUAAUAACCUAGUUAGAAGAGAAGUCUUGUAGUGACAUACUAGUGGGUUAAAAACCUUAUAACUAGGAAAAUAUAAAACUUUAUAUUAAAAUUAUAAAGUUUUAAAUAAACAAGGACAAACUAACUAGGACAAAUUAACCCAGUUAGUCUUGAGACUUGUAAAUUACUUACUAGAAGGUUAAAACACCUUAAAUAAAUAACUUAAUGAUAAUGGAGGGACUAAAGGUGUUAAAACUAAAACUAAUAAUAAUAAAAACAAGGUUUAAACACCAAACACACUAAAAGAAGUGUGUCUGGUCGAUCUAAACAUCAGGAGCGAACAGGAGCUUCCCCACCAAACCCUAACUUGUGCAAAUUGAUCAAAUUGGGGCUUCAAAUCAGUUCCAAAUCGAUUUCCAAGCACGAAAUUGUCAUCUCCAUUGAAAGGGGAGUCAUAAGUUUGAUCUCGUCAAGCUAAGUGGGAGCUGGAAAGGAAUGGAUCAAACGGGUCAAGUGUGCAAGGAAAGCUCGAACGGACGCAAACUGUACAUUUUGGAUGCCGGAAGACGAUCAAGCUCAACGAAGAACCGAACACGAAUAAGAUAAAAGCUUCCGCACGUCGUUUCGUCGUAACUUUUAAACGACGAACUCAAUUAUGUUAUGUUGUAUUAUUUUAAAAUUGUAAAGUUUAAACAAACCCGUAUUUUUACAAAGUAUAUGUAGUCAUAAUUACAUGUUGUUUGUCGUAUACUUUACGAAAACCAUUAAAUAAUGAAAAGGGUGUUACAUAAAACAAUUUUUUUCUAAACUUAUAAGUCAUGAAUCCUAAAUCAAUAAAACCUAUGUACUCGCCGGCAUUUUUAUGCUGACGUACCUAUUUUCACAUGUGUUUCAGGAGAUGAUGCAUAGGAUUGAUCAAGAUACACAUAGGCGAACUUGGACCUUAGUGACAAUAAAAGAUGCAAGACUAGUUAAUUUUGUUAUACUUCUUUGUUUGUUGAGACAUUGUAACUCUUUUUAUCAAUAAAACAACAUU